rnacentral:rRNA from 1 species
GUGAGGAAUUUUCCGCAAUGGGCGCAAGCCUGAUCCAGCAAUGCCGCGUGCAGGAAGAAGGCCUUCGGGUUGUAAACUGCUUUUGUACGGAACGAAACGGUCCUGGUUAAUACCUGGGGCUAAUGACGGUACCGUAAGAAUAAGCACCGGCUAACUACGUGCCAGCAGCCGCGGUAAUACGUAGGGUGCGAGCGUUAAUCGGAAUUACUGGGCGUAAAGCGUGCGCAGGCGGUGCUGUAAGACAGGCGUGAAAUCCCCGGGCUCAACCUGGGAAUUGCGCUUGUGACUGCAGUGCUGGAGUACGGCAGAGGGGGAUGGAAUUCCGCGUGUAGCAGUGAAAUGCGUAGAUAUGCGGAGGAACACCGAUGGCGAAGGCAGUCCCCUGGGCCUGUACUGACGCUCAUGCACGAAAGCGUGGGGAGCAAACAGGAUUAGAAACCCCUGUAGUCC